rnacentral:rRNA from 1 species
CAGUCGCCGCGGUAAUACGUAGGUGGCAAGCGUUGUCCGGAAUUAUUGGGCGUAAAGGGCUCGCAGGCGGUUUCUUAAGUCUGAUGUGAAAGCCCCCGGCUCAACCGGGGAGGGUCAUUGGAAACUGGGAGACUUGAGUGCAGAAGAGGAGAGUGGAAUUCCACGUGUAGCGGUGAAAUGCGUAGAGAUGUGGAGGAACACCAGUGGCGAAGGCGACUCUCUGGUCUGUAACUGACGCUGAGGAGCGAAAGCGUGGGGAGCGAACAGGAUUAGAUACCCCCGUAGUCCCUGUCUCUUAUAC